GGCCCUACGGGGCGCAGCAGGCGCGAAAACUUCGCAAUAAGCGAAAACUUGACGAGGCUAUCCCGAGUGCCAUCCGCUGAGGAUGGCUUUUCCCUAGUAUAGAUAGCUGGGGGAAUAAGGAGAGGGCAAGUCUGGUGUCAGCCGCCGCGGUAAUACCAGCUCUCCGAGUGGUGGGGACGAUUAUUGGGCCUAAAGCAUCCGUAGCCGGCUGGGCAAGUCCCUCUGUUAAACCCAACGAUCUAAUCGUUGGUCUGCGGGGGAUACUGCUCGGCUAGGGGGCGAGAGAGGCCGUCGGUAUUCCCGGGGUAGGGGUGAAAUCCUAUAAUCCCGGGAGGACCACCAGUGGCGAAGGCUGCCGGCUAGAACGCGCUCGACGGUAAGGGAUGAAAGCUGGGGGAGCGAACCGGAUUAGAUACCCGGGUAGUCCCAGCUGUAAACGAUGCAGGCUAGGUGUUAGGGCGGCCACGUGCCGCUCUAGUGCCGCAGGGAAGCUGUUAAGCC
rnacentral:rRNA from 1 species